AAAUCUGUUAACUUAUAAAGUGUCAUAUUAAUCCUAUGAUCUGUAACUCUGCCUUGCGGAAAAUUAUAAGUUCUAAUCCUUUCAGAUCUA
rnacentral:tRNA from 1 species